GCCUAUAGCUCAGCUGGUUAGAGCGCCGGACUCAUAAUCCGUCGGUCCCUGGUUCGAAUCCAGGUGGG
rnacentral:tRNA from 1 species